rnacentral:tRNA from 1 species
AUUUUGUGGCUCAGUGGUAGAGCACUUGCCUUGAAAAUGUGAGGCACUGAAUUCAAUUCUCAGCACCACAUA